GGACUAUUUUGAGGGAAGAAGUUGGUUAUUUUUCAAGGAUGUUGCAUUCAAAAACCUGCAUACAGCUGUGGAGGCAGAGGUGCAUGAUGCCAAAGAACAGACAGAACUGGGGACCCUCGGGUCACAUCCUUUUUCGCAAAACCUACCAGCAGCCGGCCACAUAAAGCUCGCCUGAGUGCCCAUCACACCGGGGAUCAAAGCCACAGCCCUGCCUUCCUCUUGAAACUCGGUUGUUCUCUUGUUGUGAUAAAUGGCCACAUUAUUCAAAUGAAGACGAAUGAUGAACAACAACAAGAAGUGACAGUCAAACUGUGUUCAGAUCAUUUGGCGAAGUGAACACUGCUAGAUUUAGAGCGUCGCCUGCUUCUCUCCUGCGUCUUUCAGAAACAGCUUCACUUGAAUAGAUUGCAGAGACUACGGCCGAUGACCAACGACCGUGUUUGUUCAGCGCCUGCGUGAGAGGAAAUACAUCCCCCAUACCACCACCAGGUGGCGAUAGU